UUUGGAUUAAUACCCAUAAUAUUAUUUGAUAAGCAUCUUAUUAAUAUUAAAGCUUCGGCACUUGAUGAUGGGUGUGCGGCUGAUUAGAUAGUUGGCGGGGUAACGGCCCACCAAGUCUACGAUCAGUAGCUGAUGUGAGAGCAUGAUCAGCCACACGGGCACUGAGACACGGGCCCGACUCCUACGGGAGGCAGCAGUAAGGAAUAUUGGACAAUGGACGAAAGUCUGAUCCAGCCAUGCCGCGUGAAGGAUUAAGGUCCUCUGGAUUGUAAACUUCUUUUAUAUGGGACGAAAAAAGGGCAUUCUUGUUCACUUGACGGUACCAUAUGAAUAAGCACCGGCUAACUCCGUG
rnacentral:rRNA from 1 species